UACGUAGGUGGCAAGCGUUGUCCGGAAUUAUUGGGCGUAAAGCGCGCGCAGGCGGUUCCUUAAGUCUGAUGUGAAAGCCCACGGCUCAACCGUGGAGGGUCAUUGGAAACUGGGGGACUUGAGUGCAGAAGAGGAGAGCGGAAUUCCACGUGUAGCGGUGAAAUGCGUAGAUAUAGGAAGGAACACCAGUGGCGAAGGCGACCACCUGGACUAAUACUGACACUGAGGUGCGAAAGCGUGGGGAGCAAACAGG
rnacentral:rRNA from 1 species